UCACCGCGACAUUCUGAUUCCAGAGAUUACUAGCAAUUCCAACUUCAUGCAGUGCCGAGUUGCAGCCUGCAAUCUGAACUGAGACCGGGUUUUGUGAUUCGCUCCACCUCACGGUAUCGCUGCACUUUGUUACCGGCCAUUGUAGUACGUGUGUAGCCCUGGGCAUAAGGGGCAUGAUGAUUUGACGUCGUCCCCACCUUCCUCCGAUUUGUCACCGGCAGUCUCGUCAGAGUGCCCAACUUAAUGAUGGCAACUGACAACAGGGGUUGCGCUCGUUGCGGGACUUAACCCAACAUCUCACGACACGAGCUGACGACAACCAUGCACCACCUGUCACCGACGUUCCGAAGAAAAACUCUAUCUCUAGAGCGGUCGUCGGGAUGUCAAGCCCAGGUAAGGUUCUUCGCGUUGCUUCGAAUUAAACCACAUACUCCACUGCUUGUGCGGGCCCCCGUCAAUUCCUUUGAGUUUCAACCUUGCGGUCGUACUCCCCAGGUGGGAUACUUAUUGUGUUAACUGCGGCACAGAAGGGGUCGAUACCUCCUACACCUAGUAUCCAUCGUUUACGGUGUGGACUACCAGGGUAUCUAAUCCUGUUUGCUCCCCACACUUUCGCGCCUCAGCGUCAGUUGUCGUCCAGAAAGCCGCCUUCGCCACUGGUGUUCCUCCUAAUAUCUACGCAUUUCACCGCUACACUAGGAAUUCCGCCUUCCUCUCGAU
rnacentral:rRNA from 1 species